rnacentral:rRNA from 1 species
GAUGAACGCUGGCGGCGUGCCUAAUACAUGCAAGUCGAGCGGACGGACGAGAAGCUUGCUUCUCUGAUGCUAGCGGCGGACGGGUGAGUAACACGUGGAUAACCUACCUAUAAGACUGGGAUAACUUCGGGAAACCGGAGCUAAUACCGGAUAAUAUUUUGAACCGCAUGGUUCAAAAGUGAAAGACGGUCCUGCCGCCACCUCUAGAUGGAUCCGCGCUGCAUUAGCUAGUUGGUAAGGUAACGGCUUACCAAGGCAACGAUGCAUAGCCGACCUGAGAGGGUGAUCGGCCACACUGGAACUGAGACACGGUCCAGACUCCUACGGGAGGCAGCAGUAGGGAAUCUUCCGCAAUGGGCGAAAGCCUGACGGAGCAACGCCGCGUGAGUGAUGAAGGUCUUCGGAUCGUAAAACUCUGUUAUUAGGGAAGAACAUAUGUGUAAGUAACUGUGCACAUCUUGACGGUACCUAAUCAGAAAGCCACGGCUAACUACGUG